CAAUAGCGUAUAUUAAAGCUGUUGCGGUUAAAAAGCUCGUAGUUGGAUUUCUGUCAAGGACAACUGGUCCGCCCUCCGGGUGAGCACAUAGUUUGGUCUUGACAUCUUGCUGGAAGCUGUUGCUGCACUUGGCUGUGUGGCGCAGUGUUCAGCACUUUCACUUUGAGGAAAUUGGAGUGUUUCAAGCAGGCACAUGCCUUUGGACACAGUAGCAUGGAAUAAUUAGAUUGGGCUUUUGCUCCAAUUUGUCGGUUUCUGGAGCUGAGGUGAGUAUUAAUGGGGAUUGUUGGGGGCAUCCGAAUUUAGCCGUCAGAGGUGAAAUUCCUGGAUCUGCUAAAGACGGACAACUGCGAAAGCGUUUGCCCAGGAUGUUUUCAUUGA
rnacentral:rRNA from 1 species